ACGCAUCAUCGAAGUCUACCCUGGCUCCGACGAUGUAGUCAGAGUAGUGAAGCUACGAACACCGAGUGCAGCCGUCUACAAACGUCAGGCUUCACGUGUUUGUCUAUUUCCAUUCGAGAAGAUAGCUGCCAACCCACUACUCACUAGUGCAACUCCGGAUGAUAUAGGAGGAGCACUGAAUUAAAAAAAUAAUGAAUUUAUAAAUUUAAUAUGUUUAAGUCAAAUGAAUUCGUAAUCGAUUUUUGUGAAUUCCUUAACAGAAUUUAGGUGGUCGACAUGUUAGGUAGUUUGAUACGCUGCAUCCCCCCCGUGUAGCAUAAAAUUCUCAGUUGUACUCUCGUUUUCGUUCGCUACACGGGGCCUUAGCUGACUACACUGGAGGAAAACAUUAGUAAAUGCAGCUACCAAAUCUUUAGUAGUUGAAACAUUGGUAAAAUGUACGCAUUUUUUGUACAUAUUACCAAAACUUUGUAAAACGGAUGUCUUAUGCAAUACACAUCCCUACUAAAGAUUCGUACAUUUUACUUUAUAGCAUGUGUAACCUUGAUUGUUUUCAUUUCUAGGAACUGUAAUGUGCGUACUUCGCAGUCGUCGUUCCUCUUGAGGAAACAAAACUAUUCGGAGCUUCUAACCUUGGAUUAAAAUUGCACAGUUGACUGGUGGAAUAUUCAAUGUAUAUUAGACUGAGCAUGUGCAACACAAAGAAAUCUCAGGAAACGGGAGAGCAAAUAAUGCGGAUGAAAUGUACUGCGAUCUGGUCCCAUCAACUGCCAACUAAUCAGUUGUUCCAGUCCUAAAGGAUGAAAAUGUGCAACAGGAAAAGGAGCAAAACCUUGAUGAGUGAGGGUUUGAAAAAACAUAUGAGAUUGAUUCGGUCGAGGCUGCGAUUAAAUCUGUCUAUUUGCACGAGCAAUGUUUAGAUGUAGAAUGUAGGAUGUAGGAAAUUACUGUGUAAAAGAUAAUGUAUGAUUGAAGACAGCUUUAUAAAUAAGAAUUAAUUAUCAACAACAUAAUGUCAUUAUCCCUUAUCAUUAUCUCUUACAAAUAAAAAACAACGUUUUAACUGAUGUUGUUCCAAUGGUGGGCCAACAUGCCCACCAUCCUACAAAAAUAAUGCCUACAAAUUUCCUUUUGUAAGAUGUACCAAUGAUUAGUAGGGUAGAAAAUGACUAA